rnacentral:rRNA from 1 species
AGAGUUAAAUAGUACGUGAAAUUGUUGAAAGGGAAACGAUUGAGACCAGUCAUGCUAGCAGGAAAUCAAGUAAACAAAAAUUCCGAAAAAUUCGGGGAAAUUGUUUGGUGCACUUUUCUGUUUGGCAGGUUAGCAUCAGGUUUGUCUGUUGUAAAAAGGUAGUCGGAAAGUAGCUCAAAUUUUGAGUGUUAUAGCCGGUUACAAGUGCAAUAGGUGAGGCUGAGGACAGCGAUGAAUGCCUUUGGGGUAACAACCUGCUUUCUGAUCAGACUGAUAGGGACAGACAGUUUACUGAGUGUUUCUAUUGGGAAAUCAACAAAGUAGAGCUUGAAUAAAUUCAUCAAGGAUGCUGACGUAAUGGUCUUAAACGACC